GAUGAACGCUGGCGGCGUGCCUAAUACAUGCAAGUCGAGCGAACGGACGAGAAGCUUGCUUCUCUGAUGUUAGCGGCGGACGGGUGAGUAACACGUGGAUAACUUACCUAUAAGACUGGGAUAACUUCGGGAAACCGGAGCUAAUACCGGAUAAUAUUUUGAACCGCAUGGUUCAAAAGUGAAAGACGGUCUUGCUGUCACUUAUAGAUGGAUCCGCGCUGCAUUAGCUAGUUGGUAAGGUAACGGCUUACCAAGGCAACGAUGCAUAGCCGACCUGAGAGGGUGAUCGGCCACACUGGAACUGAGACACGGUCCAGACUCCUACGGGAGGCAGCAGUAGGGAAUCUUCCGCAAUGGGCGAAAGCCUGACGGAGCAACGCCGCGUGAGUGAUGAAGGUCUUCGGAUCGUAAAACUCUGUUAUUAGGGAAGAACAUAUGUGUAAGUAACUGUGCGCAUCUUGACGGUACCUAAUCAGAAAGCCACGGCUAACUACGUG
rnacentral:rRNA from 1 species